UACAGAGGUCUCAAGCGUUGUUCGGAUUCAUUGGGCGUAAAGGGUGCGUAGGCGGCGCGGUAAGUCGGGUGUGAAAUCUUGGAGCUUAACUCCGAAACUGCAUUCGAUACUGCCGUGCUUGAGGACUGGAGAGGAGACUGGAAUUUACGAUGUAGCGGUGAAAUGCGUAGAUAUCGUAAGGAAGACCAGUGGCGAAGGCGGGUCUCUGGACAGUUCCUGACGCUGAGGCACGAAGGCCAGGGGAGCAAACGGG
rnacentral:rRNA from 1 species